GGCCAGACUCCUACGGGAGGCAGCAGUGGGGGAUAUUGCACAAUGGGGGGAACCCUGAUGCAGCGACGCCGCGUGGGUGAAGAAGCGCCUCGGCGCGUAAAGCCCUGUCAGCAGGGAAGAAAAUGACGGUACCUGAAGAAGAAGCCCCGGCUAACUACGUGCCAGCAGCCGCGGUAAUACGUAGGGGGCAAGCGUUAUCCGGAUUUACUGGGUGUAAAGGGAGCGUAGACGGCAAUACAAGUCGGAAGUGAAAUACCCGGGCUCAACCUGGGAACUGCUUUGGAAACUGUAUGGCUAGAGUGCUGGAGAGGUAAGCGGAAUUCCUAGUGUAGCGGUGAAAUGCGUAGAUAUUAGGAGGAACACCAGUGGCGAAGGCGGCUUACUGGACAGUAACUGACGUUGAGGCUCGAAAGCGUGGGGAGCAAACAGGAUUAGAUACCCGGGUAA
rnacentral:rRNA from 1 species